rnacentral:rRNA from 1 species
CACGUAGGGCGCAAGCGUUGUCCGGAAUUAUUGGGCGUAAAGAGCUCGUAGGCGGUCUGUUGCGUCCGCUGUGAAAACCCGGGGCUUAACCCCUGGCUUGCAGUGGAUACGGACAGACUAGAGGUAGGUAGGGGAGAGUGGAAUUCCCGGUGUAGCGGUGAAAUGCGCAGAUAUCGGGAGGAACACCGGUGGCGAAGGCGGUUCUCUGGACCGAGACUGACGCUGAGGCGCGAAAGCGUGGGGAGCAAACAGG